rnacentral:rRNA from 1 species
GCAUAUCAAUAAGCGGAGGAAAAGAAACUAACAAGGAUUCCCUUAGUAACGGCGAGUGAAGAGGGAAAAGCUCAAAUUUUAAAUCUAUCAUGUUUGUACAUGAUCGAAUUGUAAUUUGAAGAAGCGUUUUCUCGUACUUUAUGCAAUCAAUAUAAGUUCUCUUGGAACAGGACAUCAUAGAGGGUGAUAAUCCCGUCUGUUACUGGUUGUGAGGUUCGUUAUGAUACGCUUUCAAAGAGUCGAGUUGUUUGGGAUUGCAGCUCCAAAUGGGUGGUAAACAUCACCUAAGGCUAAAUAUUUGCGAGAGACCGAUAGCGAACAAGUACCGUGAGGGAAAGAUGAAAAGAACUUUGAAAAGAGAGUUAAAAAGUAUGUGAAAUUGUUGAAAGGGAAACGAUUGAAGUCAGUCGUGCAGUCAUCAAUUCAGCGGUUAACAUUUUAUGUUUCCGUGUAAUUUGGUGUCUGUUGGUUAGCAUCAAUUUUGAUUGUUAUAAAAAGGUUAAGGGGAUGUGGCUCCUUCGGGAGUGUUAUAACCCUUAGCGUAAUGUAACGAUUAGGAUUGAGGUUUGCAACGAAUACCUUUUAGGGCAGUUUCACCUGGCCUCUCGUGGAAUUAUAGAUAGUUAAGAGCAUGCUCUUACUGUCUAUGAUUCUACGAAAAGGUUGGAGUGUAAAACUAAUUCGUUAAGGAUGUUGACGUA